rnacentral:rRNA from 1 species
GACAGAGGCCCCAAGCGUUAGGCGGAAUCACUGGGCUUAAAGCGUGUGUAGGCGGACGCCUAAGUGUCUUGUGAAAUCCCACGGCUCACCCGUGGAACUGCUGGGCAUACUGGGCGUCUUGGGCCAACUAGGGGCAGCCGGAACAAGCGGUGGAGCGGUGAAAUGCGUAGAUAUCAGGAGGAACACCGGUGGCGAAGGCGGGUCUCUGGGCCGAUAUUGACGCUGAGGAGCGAAAGCGUGGGGAGCAAACAGG